AAAGGUCGACUAGUUCGUUUGAAAUAAUCACAAGUUCUUCAGCAAUUUGAAUACACCACUAUUUGUCUUCGAGGGCAGCAGCAGCCAAACCAAAUAAUAGCAGCAAUGGCCACAAAAAUGUCUCCCGUUUUCCUUAUUCUGGUCGUUUCGCUCUUCGUUCUUAUAAACUUCACUGAUUUUGCUUAUUCAAAAGACUGCCGUCAUGGCUAUCGGUUGAACAGUGGUGAUACUUGUUGGUCUACUGCCGAAAAAUGUGGCAUCUCCCUGCAAACGCUUUUUUACCACAACGGACUUACAGCCGGUGGAAACAACUGCAACAAUCUUCAGCCGGGUCAUUUUCUUUGCUGCACCCACUGGACUGACUGACCAUACGGGCGAAUGGCGUAAAUAAAGAAAAAUUCAAAAACAUCAAUAAAAGUCAUUUCGACUUUUCAAAAAUUAAUCUGUGAAAUAUGAA